rnacentral:rRNA from 1 species
GGGGAAUAUUGGACAAUGGGGGCAACCCUGAUCCAGCCAUGCCGCGUGUGUGAAGAAGGCCUUCGGGUUGUAAAGCACUUUAAGCGGGGAGGAAGGCCUGAUGGCUAAUAUCCAUCGGGAUUGACGUUACCCGCAGAAUAAGCACCGGCAAACUUCGUGCCAGCAGCCGCGGUAAUACGAAGGGUGCGAGCGUUAAUCGGAAUUACUGGGCGUAAAGCGCGCGUAGGUGGUUAAGUAAGCGAGCUGUGAAAGCCCCGGGCUUAACCUGGGAACUGCAGGUCGAACUGCGUGGCUAGAGUAUGGUAGAGGGGUGUGGAAUUUCCGGUGUAGCGGUGAAAUGCGUAGAUAUAGGAAGGAACAGCAGGGGCGAAGGCGACACCCUGGACCGAUACUGACACUGAGGCGCGAAAGCGUGGGUAGCGAAC